rnacentral:lncRNA from 10 species
AAAACCUGCAUAUAGAUGUGUGUUUUGUUUUUGUUUUUGUUUUCUUUUGAGAUGGAGUCUCGCUCUGUUGCCCAGGCUGGAGUGCAGUGGCGUGAUCUUGGCUCUCUGCAUUCUCCUCCUCCUGGGUUCAAGCAAUUCUUGCACCUCAGCCUCCUGAGUAUCUGGGACUGCAGGCAUGCGCCACCAUGCCCAGCUAAUUUUUGUAUUUUUAGUAGAGACGGGGUUUCACCAUGUUGCCCAGGCUGGUCUCAGACUCCUAACCUUAAGUGAUCCACCCACCUCGUCCUUCCAAAGUGCUGGGAUUACAGGCAUGAGCCACCGCGCCUAGCCUCUUUUUUAAAGUCUUAAAUAAACAUAUAUUCAGAUAAUAUAAAUAUAUAUCUCCAAGUAAAGGGUUUAUUUGGGAAUAAUAUACAAUAAUUAGGCUUGGCGUGGUGGCUCACACCUGUAAUCCCAACACUUUGGGAGGCCGAGGCAGGCAGAUCACCUGAGGUCAGAAGUUCGAGACCAGCCUGGCCAACAUGGUCUCUACUAAAAAUAGAAAAAAAUUAGCCA